GUGAGGAAUCUUCCACAAUGGGCGAAAGCCUGAUGGAGCAACGCCGCGUGAAGGAUGAAGGUCUUCGGAUUGUAAACUUCUUUUAUGAGUGAAGAAUAUGACGGUAACUCAUGAAUAAGCACCGGCUAACUACGUGCCAGCAGCCGCGGUCAUACGUAGGGUGCAAGCAUUAUCCGGAGUGACUGGGCGUAAAGAGUUGAGUAGGCGGUUAUGUAAGCGAAUAGUGAAACCUGGUUGCUCAACCACACAGACUAUUAUUCGAACUGCAUAACUCGAGAAUGGUAGAGGUAACUGGAAUGUCUUGUGUAGGAGUGAAAUCCGUAGAUAUAAGAAGGAACACCAAUGGCGUAGGCAGGUUACUGGGCCAUUUCUGACGCUAAGGCACCAAAGCGUGGGGAGCGAACCGGAUUAGAUACCCCAGUAGUCC
rnacentral:rRNA from 1 species